rnacentral:rRNA from 1 species
UACGGGAGCAGCAGUGGGGAAUAUUGCACAAUGGGCGAAAGCCUGAUGCAGCUAUGCCGCGUGUAUGAAGAAGGCCUUAGGGUUGUAAAGUACUUUCAUCGGGGAGGAAAAAACAAAACUAAUAAUUUUAUUUCUUGACGUUACCCGAAAAAGAAGCACCGGCUAACUCCGUGCCAGCAGCCGCGGUAAUACGGAGGGUGCUAGCGUUAAUCAGAAUUACUGGGCGUAAAGAGCACGUAGGUGGUUUUUUAAGUCAGAUGUGAAAUCCCUGGGCUUAACCUAGGAACUGCAUUUUGAAACUGAAAUACUAGAGUAUCGUAGAGGGAGGUAGAAUUCUAGGUGUAGCGGUGAAAUGCGUAGAUAUCUGGAGGAAUACCUGUGGCGAAAGCGGCCUCCUAAACGAAUACUGACACUGAGGUGCGAAAAGCGUGGGGAGCAAACAGGGAUUAGAUACC